rnacentral:misc_RNA from 1 species
UACGUAGGGGGCAAGCGUUGUUCGGAAUCAUUGGGCGUAAAGCGGGUGUAGGUGGUCAUAUAAGUCGAGGGUGAAAGCCCAGGGCUCAACCCUGGAAGUGCCUUCGAUACUGUAUGACUUGAGUGUAAGAGAGGGUGCUAGAAUUCCUGGUGUAGUGGUGAAAUACGUAGAGAUCAGGAGGAAUACCGGUGGCGAAGGCGGGUGCCUGGCUUAACACUGACACUCAGACCCGAAAGCGUGGGGAGCAAACAGG